UAAGUGAAGAGUUUGAUCCUGGCUCAGAGUGAACGCUGGCGGCAGGCCUAAUACAUGCAAGUCGAACGGCAGCACAGCAGAGCUUGCUCUGUGGGUGGCGAGUGGCGGACGGGUGAG
rnacentral:rRNA from 1 species